GAUGAACGCUAGCGGCAGGCUUAACACAUGCAAGUCGAGGGGCAGCAUGAGACGGAGAUUCGUCGAAGUCUUGAUGGCGACCGGCGCAAGGGUGCGUAACGCGUGAGCAACUUGCCCGUCUCAGGGGGAUAACCGGUGGAAACGCCGACUAAUACCCCAUAGUAUUGAUUUAAGGCAUCUUUUAUCAAUUAAAGAAAUUCGGAAACGGAUAGGCUCGCGUGACAUUAGCUAGAUGGUGAGGUAACGGCUCACCAUGGCGACGAUGUCUAGGGGUUCUGAGAGGAAGGUCCCCCACACUGGAACUGAGACACGGUCCAG
rnacentral:rRNA from 1 species